rnacentral:rRNA from 1 species
UACGUAGGGAGCUAGCGUUGUUCGGAAUUACUGGGCGUAAAGCGCACGUAGGCGGCUUUGUAAGUUAGAGGUGAAAGCCCGGGGCUCAACUCCGGAACUGCCUUUAAGACUGCAUCGCUUGAAUCCAGGAGAGGUGAGUGGAAUUCCGAGUGUAGAGGUGAAAUUCGUAGAUAUGACAUAGAACACCCAUUGCGAAGGCAGCUAACUGCGCGGUCAUUGACGCUGAUGCACGAAAGCGUGGGGAGCAAACAGG